UACGUAGGGUGCGAGCGUUAAUCGGAAUUACUGGGCGUAAAGCGUGCGCAGGCGGUUUUGUAAGCCAGAUGUGAAAUCCCCGGGCUUAACCUGGGAAUGGCAUUUGGGACUGCAAAGCUGGAGUGCGGCAGAGGGGACUGGAAUUCCUGGCGUAGCAGUGAAAUGCGUAGAGAUCAGGAGGAAUACCGAUGGCGAAGGCAGGUCCCUGGGUUGACACUGACGCUCAUGCACGAAAGCGUGGGGAGCAAACAGG
rnacentral:rRNA from 1 species